UGCCAGCCGCCGCGGUAAUACAGAGGGUGCAAGCGUUAAUCGGAAUUACUGGGCGUAAAGGGAGCGUAGGUGGCUCAAUCAGUCAGAUGUGAAAUCCCCGGGCUUAACCUAGGAACUGCAUCUGAUACUGUUGAACUAGAGUAGGUGAGAGGGGAGUAGAAUUUCAGGUGUAGCGGUGAAAUGCGUAGAUAUCUGAAGGAAUACCGAUGGCGAAGGCAGCUCCCUGGCAUCAUACUGACACUGAGGCUCGAAAGCGUGGGUAGCAAACAGGAUUAGAUA
rnacentral:rRNA from 1 species